rnacentral:rRNA from 1 species
AGCCCCCCUCAAGAUGAGAUUUCCCAGUAUGUAAGACCCCUUGAAGACGACGAGGUAGAUAGGCUGGGGGUGGAAGUGCAGCAAUGCAUGGAGCUGACCAGUACUAAUCGGUCGAGGGCUUAUCCAA